GGUGAACCUGCGGAAGGAUCAUUGCACACACAAAGUUGCAGCAAACCCCCCUUGCGAAUCUUGUGAUUGUCCCCCUUGUUUGGGGGGCUGGGGCACAGCGUUGUCGUCCUGGCCUGCCAAACAACACCCAAGUCCCCUCAGGGGAGACUUGGGGCUCCCCCGGGGGCCCCUCGUCCAUCCCUCGGGGUGACUCGGUAACCAACCGAUUGCGCAAUGCAUCAACGCUCUCCAUGACUGAGUAUAAAAGUCGGGACACUGCCCGCCUGCUCGCUUGCCCCUCCUGCGAAGGAGGUGGUGGUGGUGGUGGGUGGCUGUGCCCCCGAGUUGUGCGAUAAACAAAAAACAACUCUCAGCAACGGACAUCUUGGCUCUUGCAACGAUGAAGAACGCAGCGAAAUGCGAUACGUAGUGUGAAUUGCAGAAUUCCGCGAAUCAUCGAGUCUUUGAACGCAAGUUGCGCCCGAGGCUUGACCGAGGGCAUCUCUGCCAGAGCGUCACCGCGACACCCACCAAACCACCACUCCACGGGUGGUUUGAGUGAAAGUGGCCAUCCGAAUGGGACCGCCCGGGGGACUCCCCGGGCGGCAGAUUGGGUUGGCUGAAAUGGAGGGAAUUCGGCCGCCGUGGCGACACAGCCCGCGAUCAGGUGAUCCAGGUCCCGCCGCCCACUCGUGGGGGGCUUCCUGGAACUCAAGUGUGCGUCGGUUGUGCCGCCCAGUUGGCUCCUACUCUAUCUAUUAACGAUGAGUUGAGGGAUUCC
rnacentral:sRNA from 1 species